AAUUUUAAAUGUUGCUUAGUGAAAUGUUGAUAAAGGUUAAAGUAAGGAAAUCAAUUUUUGAAUAGGUGAAAUGAGUAAUGGGUAAUGAAAUUGUUACGAAAGCGAUAGAGUAUAAGUACUGUGAAGGAAAAUGUAAUAGUGUAGGAAAAAGUAGAAUAYAAAAUGUAAAUAAUUGUACCUUGUGUAUCAGGGAAAAUUUAAGUUGACUAAAGAUUUUUAGAUAUCCCGAAGUAAUAACAGUUAAUUUUUUAAUAAAGUUCUUGUUAUAAAAAGAUUUUAAAUAUAAAAUUAAAGAUGAAAUAUUAUGCGAGUUUUAUUCUAUCUGGUUAUCUAAGAGAUGAAUUUAAUUUAGGGUUUAAAGUUGAUAGAAUUUAAACUCUAAGAGUUGGAGGGCUUAGCUUCUAACUUUGAAAUAUAUAAUAAUAAAUUAAAAUAAUUUUUUUUCCUAGGCUUAGAAGUAGCUAUGGUAAUAAAGUGUUUUAACUAAAAGAUUUAUAGUAAAUUAUUUAUGUUUAUUUUAUAUAAUAUUAGAUUAUUGGUUAUAAUGGUAUUAGCUAAGAUAUAAUGAUUUUAUUAGUAUAAUAAAUUGGUGUUUGUAAAGUAAGUCAAGAAGAUUGAUGGAAAUUUAAUACAUUUUUAGGUACAUUAAAGGAAUUCGGCAAUGUAAUUCUUCGCCUGUUUAUCAAAAACAUGUCCGUUUGAAGAUAUAAUCGGUCUGGCCUGCUCACUGACAAAAAGUUGUUUAAGAGCCGCGGUAUUUUGACCGUGCAAAGGUAGCAUAAUCAUUAGUUUCUUAAUUGGGAGCUUGUAUGAAGGGUUGGACGAAAGAAUAGCUGUCUCUAUUAUAAAAAUUGAAUUUGACCUUUAAGUGAAAAGGCUUAAAUAUUUCAGGGGGACGAUAAGACCCUAUAAAGCUUUACAUAAUCAUUAAGUUUGACUGAAUUAGUAAAAUAAAUGUUUAGCUAAGUUAUUAUGUUUUAUUGGGGCGAUAUAGGUAUAAAUUUAAUUAACUGCUUAAAUAAUAUACAAUAAUAGAUGAGAAAGUAAAAGAUCCUUUUUAGAGACUAAAAGACUAAGUUACUUUAGGGAUAACAGCGUUAUUUCUUUUGAGAGUUCCUAUCGAAAAAGAAGUUUGCGACCUCGAUGUUGAAUUAAAAUGUCUA
rnacentral:rRNA from 1 species